rnacentral:rRNA from 1 species
AUGAACGCUAGCUACAGGCUUAACACAUGCAAGUCGAGGGGCAGCAUGGUCUUAGCUUGCUAAGGCCGAUGGCGACCGGCGCACGGGUGAGUAACACGUAUCCAACCUGCCGUCUACUCUUGGACAGCCUUCUGAAAGGAAGAUUAAUACAAGAUGGCAUCAUGAGUCCGCAUGUUCACAUGAUUAAAGGUAUUCCGGUAGACGAUGGGGAUGCGUUCCAUUAGAUAGUAGGCGGGGUAACGGCCCACCUAGUCUUCGAUGGAUAGGGGUUCUGAGAGGAAGGUCCCCCACAUUGGAACUGAGACACGGUCCAAACUCCUACGGGAGGCAGCAGUGAGGAAUAUUGGUCAAUGGGCGAGAGCCUGAACCAGCCAAGUAGCGUGAAGGAUGACUGCCCUAUGGGUUGUAAACUUCUUUUAUAAAGGAAUAAAGUCGGGUAUGUAUACCCGUUUGCAUGUACUUUAUGAAUAAGGAUCGGCUAACUCCGUGCCAGCAGCCGCGGUAAUACGGAGGAUCCGAGCGUUAUCCGGAUUUAUUGGGUUUAAAGGGAGCGUAGAUGGAUGUUUAAGUCAGUUGUGAAAGUUUGCGGCUCAACCGUAAAAUUGCAGUUGAUACUGGAUAUCUUGAGUGCAGUUGAGGCAGGCGGAAUUCGUGGUGUAGCGGUGAAAUGCUUAGAUAUCACGAAGAACUCCGAUUGCGAAGGCAGCCUGCUAAGCUGCAACUGACAUUGAGGCUCGAAAGUGUGGGUAUCAAACAGGAUUAGAUACCCUGGUAGUCCACACGGUAAACGAUGAAUACUCGCUGUUUGCGAUAUACUGCAAGCGGCCAAGCGAAAGCGUUAAGUAUUCCACCUGGGGAGUACGCCGGCAACGGUGAAACUCAAAGGAAUUGACGGGGGCCCGCACAAGCGGAGGAACAUGUGGUUUAAUUCGAUGAUACGCGAGGAACCUUACCCGGGCUUGAAAGUUAGCGACGAUUCUUGAAAGAGGAUUUCCCUUCGGGGCGCGAAACUAGGUGCUGCAUGGUUGUCGUCAGCUCGUGUCGUGAGAUGUUGGGUUAAGUCCCGCAACGAGCGCAACCCUUAUGACUAGUUGCCAGCAUUUAGUUGGGCACUCUAGUAAGACUGCCGGUGACAAACCGGAGGAAGGUGGGGAUGACGUCAAAUCAGCACGGCCCUUACGUCCGGGGCUACACACGUGUUACAAUGGGGGGUACAGAGGGCCGCUACCACGCGAGUGGAUGCCAAUCCCAAAAACCUCUCUCAGUUCGGACUGGAGUCUGCAACCCGACUCCACGAAGCUGGAUUCGCUAGUAAUCGCGCAUCAGCCACGGCGCGGUGAAUACGUUCCCGGGCCUUGUACACACCGCCCGUCAAGCCAUGGGAGCCGGGGGUACCUGAAGUGCGUAACCGCGAGGAGCGCCCUAGGGUAAAACUGGUGACUGGGGCU